rnacentral:rRNA from 1 species
GACGUAGGGUGCGAGCGUUGUCCGGAAUUACUGGGCGUAAAGAGCUCGUAGGUGGUUUGUCGCGUUGUCCGUGAAAACUCACAACUCAAUUGUGGGCGUGCGGGCGAUACGGGCAGACUGGAGUACUGCAGGGGAGACUGGAAUUCCUGGUGUAGCGGUGAAAUGCGCAGAUAUCAGGAGGAACACCAGCGGCGAAGGCGGCGCUCUGGGCCGGUACUGACACUGAGGAGCGAAAGCGUGGGUAGCAAACAGG